rnacentral:lncRNA from 1 species
GAGGCUGCUUCCAAUCGACCAUCGGCGCAUAGCACAAAAGGAAAAACAGCUGUAGAACAACUAUGUUCGCACAUUUUAAAAACUAUGUUCGCACAUUUUAAAAAACAUCAACUAAUAUAUCAGCUAUGCCCUAAUCUAAUUUAAGAAUACUCGACGAGGUCAUUAGGUUGAUUCCCGCAGAAAAUAGUGAAAAUAGUUAACUAAAAAUAAGAAACGUACAUACAAUCGCAGGCAAUAAAAUUGUGCAGUAACUACCAUAACUAACAGCCACAUGAGGGCACACGCUAACACACAAAUCGUCUAUGAGAAAACCUACUGACGUGCGAAGGACUCUAGUAGCCCCUAACCUACAACCCUGAUUCUGGACCUCCAGACGCUCCUAUCAAGGGUCAUGUCCUCGGAAACUUGCAUUCUAAUCAUGUCCUGCCUAAUCGCCCAAUACUUCUUAGGCCUCCCUCUACCUCGCCGACCGCCAACAAUCUCCAGCCUCUCGCAGCUCCUUACCGGGGCAUCCGGGCCCCUCCUCCGAACGUGUUCGAACCACCUCAGUCUCGCUUCUCGCAUCUUCUCAUCCACUGGGGCCACCCCUACCUUCUCUCUGAUAACUCCGUUCUUAAUCCUAUCUAGUCUGGCGUGCCCGCAUAUCCACCUAAGCAUCCUCAUCUCCGCAACCUUCAUUCUUUGAACAU